UUGGAGGGCAAGUCUGGUGCCAGCAGCCGCGGUAAUUCCAGCUCCAAUAGCGUAUAUUAAAGUUGUUGCAGUUAAAAAGCUCGUAGUUGAAUUUCGGGAUCAGUAGGUUGGUCGUGCCACUGGUAUGAACUGGCCUUACUGGUCUCUCCCUCUUGUAGAGCCGUAAUGCCAUUAAUUUGGUGUUGCGGGGAAACAGGACUGUUACUUUGAAAAAAUUAGAGUGCUUAAAGCAGGCUUGCGCUUGAAUACAUUAGCAUGGAAUAACGGAAUAGGACGCUCGAUUCUAUUUUGUUGGUUUCUAGGAUUGACGUAAUGAUUAAUAGGGAUAGUUGGGGGCAUUAGUAUUCAAUUGUCAGAGGUGAAAUUCUUGGAUUUAUUGAAGACUAACUACUGCGAAAGCAUUUGCCAAGGAUGUUUUCAUUAAUCAAGAACGAAAGUUAGGGGAUCGAAGACGAUCAGAUACCGUCGUAGUCUUAACCAUAAACUAUGCCGACUAGGGAUCGGAUGAAGUUAAUUUUUUAAUGACUCAUUCGGCGCCUUACGGGAAAC
rnacentral:rRNA from 1 species